GGGCAGUUAGCUCAGUGGUAGAGCGUCUGCCUUACAAGCAGAGGGUCACUGGUUCAAGUCCAGUACUGCCCA
rnacentral:tRNA from 31 species